CCUACGGGGGGCAGCAGUGGGGAAUAUUGCACAAUGGGGGAAACCCUGAUGCAGCAACGCCGCGUGGGUGAAGAAGGUCUUCGGAUCGUAAAACCCUGUUGUUAGAGAAGAAAGUGCGUGAGAGUAACUGUUCACGUUUCGACGGUAUCUAACCAGAAAGCCACGGCUAACUACGUGCCAGCAGCCGCGGGAAUACGUAGGUGGCAAGCGUUAUCCGGAUUUAUUGGGGGUAAAGGGAACGCAGGCGGUCUUUUAAGUCUGAUGUGAAAGCCUUCGGCUUAACCGGAGUAGUGCAUUGGAAACUGGGAGACUUGAGUGCAGAAGAGGAGAGUGGAACUCCAUGUGUAGCGGUGAAAUGCGUAGAUAUAUGGAAGAACACCAGUGGCGAAGGCGGCUCUCUGGUCUGUAACUGACGCUGAGGUUCGAAAGCGUGGGUAGCAAACAGGAUUAGAUACCCUUGUAGUC
rnacentral:rRNA from 1 species